CCUACGGGCGGCUGCAGUAAGGAAUAUUGGUCAAUGGACGGAAGUCUGAACCAGCCAUCCCGCGUGCAGGAAGAAGGUCCUAUGGAUUGUAAACUGCUUUUAGCAGAGACGAAACGCCUUCAUUUAUGGGGGUUUGACGGUAUCUGCGGAAUAAGCACCGGCUAACUCCGUGCCAGCAGCCGCGGUAAUACGGAGGGUGCCAGCGUUAUCCGGAAUCACUGGGGUUUAAGGGGGCGUUUACGGCGGUUUAGAAAGCCUGUAGCUUAACUACAGAAUUGCCAUUGAUACUGAUUUUCUUGAAUUGGGUUGAGGUUAGCGGAAUGUGACAUGUAACGGUGAAAUGUUUAGAUAUGUCAUGGAACACCGAUUGCGAAGGCAGCUAGCUGGGCCUUGAUUGACGCUGAGGCACGAAAGCGUGGGUAGCGAACAGGAUUAGAUACCCUGGGAGUC
rnacentral:rRNA from 1 species